AUUUCCCCAGCACUACUUCUUCAACACCAGUCAUGUAGGAAGCCGGUUCCUGCAUUAUAAUGUUGCCUGAAGACACCAAGAUACACAAAGGUUGAAUUUUUCAAUCACCAGUCAACCCUAGGAAAUCUCAAAUUAAAUCUCUGAAUGUUGGAGAGAUGACUGCCAUGUGUGGCUGAAAUCUGGGGAAAGAAGAAUCUCCUCAUAUAUGGAAGCAGGAGUCACUGUGAUAAAAUACCAUGACAAACCUUUGAUGCCCUUCUCCUAUAAUGAGAUUGAUGACUACCAUGGUUACCAUUCCUAGAGGCUUCAUCCAGUAGCUGAUAAAAGCAGAAACAGGCACCGACAGCUAAACACUGAGCCAUACACUCCUGGAAUCCAGUUGCAGAGAGGGAGGAGGGAAGCAUAGGAGCCACGACGAUGCUGGAGAAACCUGCAGAAACAGUUGACCUGACCUAGUGAGAGCACAGAGGAGACCUUAGUUGUAAACCUCCCGAACCAGCAUCG
rnacentral:lncRNA from 1 species